GCCAUAAUUAAGGUCUGAUUAUAUUCCCUUUAUAUUUAAACUAACUUAAUAUUCCUUGAUUCAACCUUAAAAGUCAUAAUAAAAGAUAAUUAAGAGAAAAAAUACAUAUAAAAAUGAACCGCUAGAACGAGGAGAGAGAUACGAACGGAGGAAAAGAAGAGAAAGGAAGAAAGGAAGGAAGAAGAAAGGCAGAAAGAAAGGAGGAGAAAGAGAAAGAGAGAAAGGAAGAAAGAAGAGAAAAAAAAAGAACCGCUAGAACGAAGAGAUACGAACGGAGGAAAAGAAGAAAAGGGAUGAAAAAAGAAAGAGCAAGGAAGAUAAGGAGACAAAAGAGGAAGAGAAAAUGCAAAGAGAAAGAAAGAAAAGAGGAAGAGACAAAAGAAAAAGGAAAAAGGAAACCGUUAGAACGAGGAGAGAGAUACGAACGGAGGAAAAGAAGAAAAAGGAUGAAAAAAAGAAAGAGAAAGGAAGAUAAUGAGACAAAAGAGGAAGAGAAAAGGCAAAGAGAAAGAAAGAAAAGAUGAAGAGACAAGGGAAAAGAAAAAAAGGAGCCGCUAGAACGCGUCGACUCGGUUUGUUUACGUUUUGCCGCGGGGAGGUGCACGUGUGGGCGGCGUUCAAAAUGAUCUACGUUUAUUUCACGUUCCUGACCUCGCCCGCCUUUAAAAGUCCUCGUUGCUCCAGGGCGUAGCUCCGUUACCCUGGGGGGCCUAUGGGGGUGCGGGGUACAGGCACCCAUCGCUCCGGGACACCUUGCCUCAGUGCUCAUCUCUGUCAAAUUAAAGACUCAAGAGAAUGGCCCGUGGUUAGUUUUCAAGUUACAGCCGAGCGUCUUCACUCAGGAACCACACACCUGCAGAGACUUCAGGAAUAUGCGGCCCGGCGGUGUGUUUAGGCAGGAAG